rnacentral:lncRNA from 1 species
UUCCAUUCAUUCCACAACUUUGGCCUGUUGGGAAUUUCAGUCGGCGUUCGUCGGAGACCUCGCGUUUUUUUGGAAAGGUGCAGAUACCCUGCCCAUUACAACAAUAUAUGCUUUCAAGAUAUAAGAAGAUAUGGAAGUCAUACAAGUAUAGAUUUGUACCAUGGCUAAUAUUUAACUUAAAGAACAGAUCUGUUCGAAGAGAAGUGGGCGGAUGCCAGGAUGAUACUUUGCAACAUGAUGCCCUUGUCGAUUCUGUCUUUGAUGUCCUUACUUUGUUAACUGGCCAUCUUUGUCCACUACAUGACUAUCAGAAGCAACAUGAAAAGGCAAAUCAGCUGCUGCUCACGCGGCUCGGCUUCCAGCUGCGCCGA